GCUGUGUUUGCUGAACUGCUCAUGUUGGUGGACUGUGGCUUGGAUGUUCCUGGACCUCUAUGGGACUGUGCUUUGGUUUUGACUCUGGACUGGGUUUCCUGGACUUUGGAUGUGUGAAUUGACUCCUGGUCUUUGAACUUUGGACUUGACAUCCUGACUUGCGGCAAGAUUAUCGAUUUUAAGGCUGGUCUUUCACCUCUUCUUGGAUCCCUUUCUACUAUCCUGCUGAGGCCAUCCAGAUUCCUGAGCUCCUGCGUUUGGAACUGUUUCGGAAAUGGCAGCCAGCACACGCUCCCUUGUUCACACGACGCUCUUCCU
rnacentral:lncRNA from 1 species